UACGGGGGGGGGCAAGCGUUGUUCGGAAUUACUGGGCGUAAAGGGCUCGUAGGCGGCCAACUAAGUCGGACGUGAAAUCCCUCGGCUUAACCGGGGAACUGCGUCCGAUACUGGAUGGCUUGAGUGUGGGAGAGGGAUGCGGAAUUCCAGGUGUAGCGGUGAAAUGCGUAGAUAUCGGGAGGAACACCUGUGGCGAAAGCGGCUCACUGGACCACAACUGACGCUGAGGCGCGAAAGCUAGGGGAGCAAACAGG
rnacentral:rRNA from 1 species